AGAGUUUGAUCCUGGCUCAGGAUGAACGUUGGCGGUGUGCCUAAUACAUGCAAGUCGAACGGUGACCUAUUUGUAGCAAUACGAAUUUGUCAUAGUGGCGAACGGGUGAGUAACGCGUUGGUGAUCUGCCUCGAAGUGUGGAAUAACGUUCCGAAAGGAACGCUAAUACCGCAUGUGCUCUCAGUUUUUAGAAUGUUGAGAGUAAAGGAUUUAUUCGCUUCGAGAGGAGCCUGCGUCCCAUCAGCUAGUUGGUAGGGUAAUAGCCUACCAAGGCAAUGACGGGUAGGGGACCUGAGAGGGUGGCCCCCCACAAUGGAACUGAAACACGGUCCAUACACCUACGGGUGGCAGCAGUAGGGAAUAUUAGAAAUGGACGAAAGUCUGAUCUAGCGACACCGCGUGUGCGAAGAAGGCCUUCGGGUUGUAAANNCGGCUAACUACGUGCCAGCAGCCGCGGUAACACGUAGGAGGCAAACGUUAUCCGGAUUUACUGGGCGUAAAGCGCGUGUAGGUGGUUCUGUAAGUAGGGCGUGAAAGCUCCCGGCUCAACUGGGAGAGGCCGUUCUAAACUGCAGAGCUAGAGGAUGGUAGAGGGAGGUGGAAUUCCAGGUGUAGCGGUGGAAUGCGCAGAUAUCUGGAGGAACACCAGUGGCGAAGGCGGCCUCCUGGACCAUUCCUGACACUCAGACGCGAAAGCUAGGGUAGCAAACGGGAUUAGAGACCCCGGUAGUCCUAGCCCUAAACGAUGUAGACUAGACGUCGGCGGUGUAAUAGCUGUCGGUGUCCAAGCUAACGCGAUAAGUCUACCGCCUGGGGACUACGACCGCAAGGUUAAAACUCAAAGGAAUUGACGGGUCCCCGCACAAGCAGCGGAGCGUGUGGUUUAAUUCGUUGCUACACGAAGAACCUUACCUGGGUUUGACAUAGCAGUGGUAGGGAAGAGAAAUCGGACCGACCCUUCGGGGAGCUGUUACAGGUGUUGCAUGGCUGUCGUCAGCUCGUGNNAAGUCCGCUAACGAGCGCAACCCGCGUUGUGUGUUACAAGUGUCACACAAUACCGCCGGUAUUAAGUCGGAGGAAGGUGCGGAUGACGUCAAGUCAGCAUGACCUUUAUAUCCAGGGCUACACACACGCUACAAUGGGCAGUACAACAGGUUGCCAAGCCGCGAGGCGGAGCCAAUCCUCCAAAGCUGCCCUCAGUUCAGAUUGCAGGCUGCAACUCGCCUGCAUGAAGUUGGAGUUGCUAGUAACCGCAGGUCAGCUAUACUGCGGUGAAUACGUUCCCGGGGAUUGUACACACCGCCCGUCAAGUCAUGGAAGCUGGCAACACCUGAAGCCGGUAUCCUAACCCGUAAGGGAGGGAGCUGUCAAAGGUGGGGUUGGUGACUGGGACUAAGUCGUAACAAGGUAGGUGUACCGGAAGGUGCGCCUG
rnacentral:rRNA from 1 species